rnacentral:lncRNA from 1 species
UAUUUUAGAAGAGAAUAAGUAUCAGUUGGGGGCAAAUUUUUUGUUGAUAAGAGCAUAACUUUAAGAAAGUUGGGAAAAUGCAAGAACAUAUCAACUAUCACCCUAGCAGAGUCAGUCUUACAGUUUAUUUUUCAUCCUACAUGCAGGCAGAGAACUACUCUGAUUCUGCAGACGCUUAUUUGAUGGUUCAGUUCACAUGAUGGUUUUUCUCCACCCUUUUGCUUCCAAAUCCAUGUUGAACAUGACCUUGUAGGUGAUAGAAACCCGGGACUUAGCAAUUCGCUGUCUUCAUUCUGCCAGACGGUGAUUAUGAGGGAGCUGGUGGAACCGGUGUAAAACUUCCUGUAACAUGUUUGAAAUUUCAGAAUUUCUAAAGGAUGCCUGCGCUCCUAUCUUGUGAGAGGUUUAUCUAUACCACUGAGAAAAAAUAGACUUUCCUGUGGUAAAUCUCAUAAAAUGCCAUUUUUUCUUGAAGACAGCAAAAUUCUGGUCUUGAGCUAAUUUUCUUCUGAAUGAAUGAAUUGGCCAACAGAAUGAAGUGACAUUAAUUCAGCAAUAAACAUUGAGCAAUGUAUCCAUGUGGAUCCUUCCCUGAACACAUAUUCUAGUUAGGA